rnacentral:Y_RNA from 1 species
GGCUGGUCCGAGUGCAGUGGUGUUUACAACUAAUUGAUCACAACCUGUUUACAGAUUUCUUUGUUUCUUCUCCUCUCCCACUGCUUCACUUGACUAGCCUUUA